CACCAGCACGAUAUAGUUGAAGAGCAUCAGGUAGCCGAUGUACGCCAGCUGCGAGCAAACAGAACGUAGUGCUCGGCUGCCGAGGCCUGGGAGCCCUGGCCUCAGCACGGUGGCCACACAGCCAGACAGAACAAGAGGAGAAAUGGAGCCCGUGGAAGCUGCCUCAUGAGGCUCACCAACCCUACAAAGCUGUCGGCAGAACAAGGUCAGAGGCUUCUUCCCGCUGCUUGGAUGGUGCUUCUAUUACAGCCCACAGAGAAAACCAUGCAGGGCAAGAAAUGAACCUGAUUCCCGCGCCUGCAUUUGCAAGGAGACAAGCAAGGAGGCUUACCGUGUAGAACCAGAACUUGACGAUGGGUGCAUUGUAGAAUUCAUAGAUCUUUCUACCCAGGGGGAUGAGGCGGUGCCUGCUCUGAACUUCCUCUUCAUCCUUCUUCCUGGAAGACUCCCCAUUGCUCCGUCCCAGCAUUGCCUACGGCGGGAGAGAAGCGACAUCAUCACAGAAGGGCUCUGCCCUGCACAGCUCAGUAAUCCGUUCAAUGCAGGAGGAAUGGACCUCACUGAGCCUGAGCUCACAGAACCUGCCAAGAGCCUGAGCCCCAGCUCAGGCUCACAGCUUUCCUGAGGGUGAGAUUCCUUGGACACAUCACCCACGUCUUCCUCUGCCUGGGUGGAAGACCUUGGGGAUCCUGCUCCAUCAUGUUCUUCUCUUCCACCUUGGACCCUUUUGGGCAGGUGGGUGAUAGCAGAUGCACAAAAUUCUGAGAGGAAGAGUAGAUAGAGCCUGGGAAGGGUGCGAUAUAGGGACUGCCUGCCUGCUUCCCUGCCUGUACUGUAAGACAGGCUAGAUGAGGGUUCAGAUGCUGUCUCCAGCCAUGCUAUAGGCUGGGAGAUUGGGGCAGAGGUCCUCAGGUUUCAAAGGUCAUGAAUAUUCAAGAGGCAAGUUACUGGCAGUAGAUAGAGCUUGGGUUUUCAUUUCAAACCUUGCAAAAGUGGAAUUGCUACUGGGACUGGCGUACUGCCUUCCUGUAUAGCUGGUGGGCCUGCUGGGGGAGGCCCCAUCUCUAAGCUGCUGGAGAUAUCCUUGAGAAUGCGAUGGCCCCUCAUCCACAUAGCAGUAGCAGCAGCAUCAACAACAAAGACUGAACAGUACAAGGAAGGCGGAACCUGACAAAAGGCACAUACAUGCUGUCCUGUCCGGGAAGCGAGCAGCAGGAGACCCCCCCAAAUGGCUGAAGAGUUUUAGGCUUUGGGGCAGUCAGGUGGGAGACUGAAUCCUACCUUGGAUGCUUAGAAUUUUGUGCUACCUUGGGUAGUUGUUUUAAUUACUCAGAGACUUACUUUCUUUAACUGGAAACUGAGAGAACCAGGGCCCCUGCUAUUGGGUUGAUCUACAAAUCCAUUAGCGUGUGGCCUUGCAACCUGCUCAGUAACUAUUAGCUGUCUUUUAAUACCCUGGGACCUUCCUGGACAAUGCAUUCUGAUGAAAUAGUCCAGUUGGAGCCUCUAGGAGGUAGCUCAGUAUGAAGGCACUGGCUUCAAUCCCAGCUAGUACUGUGGUGCCCCCAAAUGACCUUGACUUUGUCUGAAGGGAGAUGUAGUUUUUGUCUUUAGACCCUGGAAGGCAAGGCAUGUCACAUGCAAUAGUUCUUUGUUUAGAAAGAAAUCCAGCCCCAGAAGAUCUGAGACUGGACUGGCUUUGCCAUAAAAACCAACUGCAUGAUUCAGAGUGGGAGCCCUAGGUCACCUGGCAGCUGGGAUAUUACCCAGGCCAUUAGCCAGUCACCCACCCACACUUAUGCCAUGGAGCCCCAGUAAAUCUUCGGGCGUGAAGCUCAGGCAGACUUUUCUGGUUGGCAAUACUUUAUGAAAGCUUCACACACCGGAGAGUAAUGAAUCUUGAGUGCAGAGUAAGAAGAUUCCAGAGAUGACGCAUUUGGAAAUAUUCUGGAUUUAAACCUGUGUGUGUCUUCCCAUGAGUGACUUCACUCUGUAUCGUUUUCCUGUAAACAAACUGUAACUGUGCAAGAAAGAGACCAUAACAGUACAACUUUUGGCUUCAGUUCCUUAAUAGUGUCCUAAGACAAGGUUAGUUCUAUGACACUGGAAAAUGAGAAUUUUAUUAAAUGUGGAUAAGAAACUGCUCAAGACUGAAGUACACCUAGGCAAAAAUCCUGUCCUACAGAGCACGUGAGUUUAAAGUGGAGAGAUCUAAUGACAGUGACAAUUUAGAUUGGCUUGUCUUGAAAUUGAAAAGAGAGAUAGCUGCUGAUUUCAGUGUAUCCCAGUCCUGGUCUUAGUUUUGCUACUUUGAUGGUUGCUUUAAGUAAUGAUUUCGCUCAGAUAUGUGCCAUUCACAAAUGAUUCAUCAAAUCAACAGGUUUUCUGGAGAAGGUAACUUCUGUUCUUUUGUGGAUUCUCUAACUAGAAUAGUUCCGUGAAUUAAUGAAUAGAUAUGAUUUGGUUCCAAAGUUUAUCUAAGUGUUUCUUUUCAUCAGCAGACUGAGUUAUUCUUCACAGUGGAUACAGCACACUAGAACUCAGUGUGAGACUUCGGAUCACUGAUCUCAAGAAACUCUGAAGAUUUUUGAGACAGGUUCUCACCGUGCAGUCCAGGCUGCUCUUGUCUUGAACUCACUCUGCAGCACAGGCUGGCCUCGAACUUAUAAUCCUUCUGCCUCAACAUCCUGAGUGCUGGGAUUGUAGGGAUCACACUGCUUCCAUUCUGCUUAUUUCUGUGCUUGACAAAGCAGUGCCAUUCGGAAACACAAUGAGAUGGAUGUAAGGGCAGAUUCUGAGGCAUCCUGCAGAGUGGCAUCUUGGGGUAACCUUUAGGGACAAUGAAUUUCCUAGGCCUACAGCUGGGGCUCAGGACAUGUUGGGACUUUAUUAAACAAUGUGCAAGGUGAAAAAGCACUCACCUGGCCAUGCAGGCAAAGCACAAACAAGACCAUGGCAACACAUUUUACAUUAUUAUUCAAAUUAUUCCAAAACCUAUGUGUUGUCUUUGGGUGAUUUAAAUAAAGCAUUUUUGUCACUUUGUUAAUUCCAGCCUAAGCAGCUUCCCUUGCUGAUUUUAUUGAUUUCUUUUCUCUGUAGUCAUACAUUUCCUUUGACAUGCCUUAAAAUAGAAUUUAACAGGGUCAAGUACAAACAAGAUUGCGCAGUACGGACUUGAGAAUCGUUGUUGGGUGGACACAGGUGUCAAAGCGGAGAAAUAGCCUUUGAAAUAAGUUAUUUCAGAUUCUAGAAAUGGGGCAAACUGAGAUAGGGAUGCAUGUGUGGUUUGGAAGGGCCAGAGGAUGUCUCUUUGCAAGAGAAGAUAUGUUGGUUUAGCACAGAAGCUCAACGGUCAGCCCUGUGAAAGUGGCUCUCUCCAGCCUUAUCCAUGAUGAGGCUGCUGACCAGAGCCCAAGCAGCCACAGAGUUUUUCCAUCAGGUCAAAGAAAGCUCCUUUAUAGACCACUGUGGUCCCAGUCUGAGCCUGCAGGUCUCCAAACUGCCCUCCCUCACCCCACUCUGUCUGCUUGAGGAGACUAAGCCUAGCACUCUGGGUGUCUCCUACUCAGGUUCUCGGUGAGCAGUGCUGGCCUCUGUUCUCUAGCAAGUAGACUUUGCUCUCAGUCCACAGACUUGUGGACUCUCGAAAGAUCGCAUCCUCAAAGCUUUGCACAGAGCAGGGGCGGCCCCUCCCUUUGCUUCCUUCUUUGAGAUUCAGAGAACAUGCUGAUUCAGCUCCUGCUUGUCUGCCUAGGAUGGGUGGCUUCAUCGAGGUCAUGCUACAUGAGACUUAGAGGGCCUGGGCAUUGCUUUUGAAUUUUCCUUGCUAUUUGGUGAACCAAACCAGCUGAUCACUCUUGAGACUAGGAAGACAUUCUCUCUUAACUUUUGACUAAAGGAACAGCCAGUUGGGUCUGCAUGUCUAGGUUUGAAUCCCAGCUUCACAAUUCAUUAGCUGUGUAAAGGUGAUCCAUUUAACAUCUCUGAGUCCCCACCCUCCUCGCCUGUAACCUGUUAGUUAAUAUUAUUAACCUGUUAGUUAAUAAUUUACCUCUCUCAUGGGUUGAUAGGAGGAACCCCCGGCUAAGCAUAUGAAGUUUUAGCCCUGUUACAAUGUUAGUGAGAAUUUACUGCUGUUUAUAGGAUGUCAGGCACCAUUCUAAAGAGUUCACAUGUUUUCCUCUUAAUUCAUACGGCCGCCUGCCAGACUGGUGGACUUGUUCCCACACUCAAGGCUCUGACAUCACACAGAGACACACAGGAAGCCACACAGUUGAUGUGGCAGGGCACUGAUUCCAGACCACAUAACUCUUUCCCCUCUGCUAAAAUAUUUACUACAGAUUCAGUGUUCAUUCUUCUGUUUCUCCCUGGGUUGAAAAAUACCAUUUUCUAUCUGUACAGGGGUGUAGAGUCCAAGAUUUUGGAAGGAGUAUUUUUGUCUGUGGUACUGGUCACAUGAAGCUACAUCUCCAGUCCCUUUCUUAUAUUUUAUUUUGAGACAGAGUUUCACUAAAUUGUUGAACUCCUUGUGUUGGGCUCAGGUUCAUGGUCCUUGUGUCUGUCUUCAGAGCGCUGGGAUUAUAGGUGUGUGCCACCACCUAGCUCUGAAAGAUGUUUAGGGAAGUCGGCCCCUGCCCCUGCCGAUUUCCUGAGGAUCCUAAAACUGAAACAAAAGUUGGCUUUUCAUUCAGGGAGUCAGGAAAUGCGUCUGUAAAUAGCAGAGCGGCCUCAUGGAAGACAAUUGCUAACCUGGAAGAAGAAGUUUGCACAGUAGUUCCACUAGGCUCAUAAUGCAAAAAGCCUUUGUCACCUGAGCAAAACCAAUUUUCGUGGUCUCCUCUUACAGUUCCUUCUGGGUCAUGACAGCGGAUCAUUGGCGAGGGUGGUGGGGGAGGCUGAGGCCCGCUGGAAGUCCUUAUGGAGCCGUUGCGUGAUGUCUGCUAAGCUGUGAAGCCUUGUUUGUCCCUUGAAUAACACGGGGUAUUUUUAACCUUUGGAUACGAGCCAGUGGCAGUCAUGCUGCUCAGACAGGGGUGGCGGGAAGCUGUCCCAUGAGCAGCUGCCCCAUUCCCUCUGCAGAACAAAGCACCCAGGUCCUAUAAUUAUACCAGGAAGAGCUAAUAAAAGCCUUCCAUACAAACCCCAGAAUUCAGUUAGUGCUGUUAUUUGUGAGCCUGACCCCAAAGACAGACACAGGCUUAGCUUCUGAUCGGCAGAAUGUUCCAGCUCAGUAAAGCCUGCUGCUCCUGACUCUGGACUCCCUCAGUGUUUUGUGUGCAAAAACCGCCACACUGCCUGGCUGUUUCUAAAGCUUUGCUUGCCUGGAAAUUUUGGGGUUCUAUGCUUCUUUGAGAUUUAUUUUUUUCUUUUUUCCCUGUACCCCUAGCUGGCCAAAGGGCUUUACAGAAAAACUGUCAUGUUCUUUGUACAUAAAGAGGACACACUUGUGCACCUGGUUGCAGUUCUCAGUGUCCAGGAUUAAAUGUGAAGGCAGCCUGGGGACUGGCUGUUGUCCUGGCUCGCUGAACCCUUAGCCACAUGAAGGGGACGAGGGGGCGAGGGAGUCUUUGCAGUGAGAGCAACGCAUAGCUCGGCCUUACUG